rnacentral:rRNA from 1 species
GCGAAUUCCGGGCCGGGAGCGGGGGUAAGAGGGGGGGGGACAGGGUGGUUUGGAAUGACUGGGGGUAAAGGGGUCGUAGGCGGCCAACUCAGGCGGACGUGAAAGCCCUCGGCUUAACCGGGGAAUGGCGUCCGAUACUGGAUGGCUUGAGUUUGGGAGAGGGAUGCGGAAUUCCAGGUGUAGCGGUGAAAUGCGUAGAUAUCUGGAGGAACACCGGUGGCGAAGGCGGCAUCCUGGACCAACACUGACGCUGAGGAGCGAAAGCCAGGGGAGCAAACGGGAUUAGAUACCUGUGUAGUC